GUAUUCCAUGGCACUUUGAGAUAUUUCAGAGAAAGGCUCGAGUUAGCAAAGAAGCAUAUUGAAGAUAAUCAGAACACACCUUAUUGUAGCCGUGUCAUGGAAUACAUGGCAAAGAAGAUAGAGAAAGCAAAGAAGCACACUGUCAGACUCAUAGGGAAUCAAGAAAGGAGGUAUGAGGUUCAGGUUCCUACCGAUGGUUUUGGUUCUAGACAUGAGGUGAAGACACACGAGGUAAAAAUUGGAACGCAGUCCUAUCCAACGUGUGAGUGUACAUGCAACAAACCGAAGUUGUUGCACCGACCUUGCUCUCAUGUGUUGGCUGCCUGCGGCCAGAUUGAGUUGGAUGCUAUCUCCUUCGUGCCCCCAUACUAUUUAAAAGAGGCAGUGCUGAACACAUGGACAGGUGAGAUGACAUGGUUUAGAGUCGUCGGCUAUUUCAACAAGGUAAACGACGGUGAGAGAGUAUACAUUCCACAUCCAGACCUUCAGCGAACAAGUAGGGGCAGAUGAAAGGCCCGUCGCAUCCGGAACGAUAUGGACCAAUCUGAAGCUCGUGGAGCAACCAGACAAUGUUUGUUAUGCGCGGCUUAUGGGCAUAGGAUGAAAUAUUGUCCCGGCCUGAACAAAGAUGGUGCUUCCACAUCGACGAGUGCUUCCACAUCGACGACUGCAACAACAGGAGCAAGAGGCGGACAUGGUCGUGGCAGUCGAGGCCGAAGGGGCAGACGAGGAAGAAAGAACUCACACGCUAUAUAA
rnacentral:rRNA from 1 species